UGUUAGUUCAGGACCACUCUUCCUCAAGCACAAAGAAGAAGAUUGGCAACAGGUGUUAACUCAGGACCAGUCUUCCUCACGAAAAAACAAAAAACAAAACCAGUGUCAUCAAAAAGGAAUUUUUUCAGGUAACGUAAGUUUUUAGGUCAAUUUAGAGACUGGACUGUUAUUAAAAUUGACAGUUGUUAUAUUUAAUUGAUAUGAAAACAUAUUUACAGAUUUUUUUAUUUUUGGUGGGAGGAGUUGGUUACAAAAAUCCCUUGGGGACAGUGUAGUAUAAAGAAGAGAGUUUUGGCUUUGGAGCCUGCGUCCUAGUCUUGGUUCUCCCUCUUAUCUGUUCCUCCAUUUCUUUAUCUGUGAAAUGGGUAUAAUAGUAUUACCCGCUUAAGAAGACUUGUAAGAAUUAAAUGACUUAAUAGGUGUAAAGUGCUGAGAACUGUCAGUGGCUAAUUAUAAGUGCUCAACAAUACCUUAAAGAAGUCACAAGGGAAAAAUAGUAAUAGUAAUAAUAUCUAGUGUUUAUUAAGUACUUAUGAUAUGUCAGGCACUAGCCUCAGUACACUGCACUUGCACUAUGUGACUCCAGGGCUUGAGCUCCUAACCGCUAUACUCUGCUGCCCCCAGACCAAAAUGGCAGUGGUAAUUAUCUCUGAGUUGUACAAGUAUAGGUGACUUAUUUUCAUUUAUCUAUUGUCUGUCUUUUAUCUAUUUUACCUUUCUCUAUUAUCUGACUCUUUUGUAACAAGCAUGAAUUACUUUAAUAACCAGAUAUAAGUGCAAAGCUAUUUUAAGGAGGGAGGAGCUUCAGGGAACUCUCAGUUUCCCCAGGAUAAAGUCUGACUCCUAGCUUUGAGCACAUUGAUCUUGUGUGGGCUGGCUCCCACUGCCCUCUCCUCUCCUAUCUCCGCUGCUCUGCAACAUGCAGUCUUGGCUCCACCCAAACCAGACUCCGUGUUUAGAUGCAAUGUUCCGUCCUACCUGGCUGACUCAUUAUUUUCAAGGCUCAGCCCCAGUAUUUUCAUCCCAUUAAAGCUGUCCCUGAAACUCUAACCCCCAAGGCAGUGAGCCUCUUUGCUCCUAUACCUUUAUAGUAGCACUUACCCACAUCGCAUUGUAAUUACUUGUCUCUGCAUUUUUCUGCCUAGUUGAGUAGCUCCUUGAGAGACUGAAUCACAUUUUUUCAUCCUGCUAUCCCCAGCACAUAACCAAGUAUCUGUAGUUAAGGUUCUAUAUCAAUGUUUAUUAAAUGUUCUAUUAAUAAUAUCAUAUCAUAGGAUGUUGUUUUAGACCUUCAUUUCCAAUUAAUUAGAACCUUCCUUAUCUUUGGGCAUAUGCUAAAAUAAUCAGAAACUGGAAUAUUGUAAUCAUUUGCCGGGCUUUGUUGCUGUUCUCCAUAAUCAUAAUUUCUUAUACCCUGAUUUAUGUUUGUAGAAAGCCCACUUAUCUACCAUUUUAUAGACUGAAAACUGUGAAGUAACCCGUGGUCAGCUAUGUGAAUUGCUACAGUAUGCAGUUCUGGGCAAAUUUUCAUCUCUGCUUACAUUCACCUUUUCUUCUUGCGUGUUGUCCACUUUUCUCACUGGAGCCAUUAGCAUGUUAAUCAUCGUGAUUUUCAUUCUUAGCCUAAUAAUUCCAUCAUCUCUGCCAUACUGAGUGCAAUUCUAAGGCUUACUCUCUGUGUUUAAACUGUGUGUUUUUUCUUUUAGUCUGCCUAUUGAAAGCUGGAUGUGGUCUCCUGAUUUAAAGGAACAACUGAGAAAAAGGGGGGUCCUUGCCUUAUCUUUUGAAAUCAGGAUUGUGAAUCUCUGGGCCCGAGCUCUUACACCCUUAAUUUAAUUGAAUGUACUUCAGUGAACAUCUUCAGAUAAUCUGUGUGGAGAUAUUUUCAUUUGAACAGUGAGAAUGGUGAGUACCAACAUGUCCCAGCCAUUUUGCAAGACACUUUCAUUAGGUAUUUAAUCUUAUCUUCCUCACAAUGACCUCAGAAGCCAGUAUUACCCCUCUCACGGACAAUGGGACUGAGGCUCUGAGUAGGCGCCACUGAGAGCUGGUAUUAGGGGCUGAGUCAGCAGGAACACAGGCAAAGAAUUAGGAUACUGUGUGGCAAGUUUGGGGAGAUGCAAAGCUGACAGUCAGUGGUGGUGACUAGAGGAUGCAAGGAUCUGAUCAACCUUGAAUUCCCCACAGAGUCUGACUCAUGCGGAAGACCAAAGCAGCUGCUCAGCUGAUAACGAUCCUGUCUUCACCGUUAGUCUCGCCGGGGCACAGUAAACCCAGGCCAAGUAUCCUGAAAGAGUGAAGUUAAAUUUCCAAACUUACAGGGAUUUUUCUCUCACACAGACCCAGAACUUUCAGAAAUCCAGGGAAACAAGAAUCUUUAUUUGGAUUAUGAACUAAGGGUGUUAUGGCAAUAGUGACAUUUUGAUGAGGAUAAUUGCGUUGCCCACACUGUGUGACUGGAAAACAUGCAGUGGCUCUGCGUGGACCUCAUGUUGCCUUCACAUCCCUGCUCACACUGCUUGCCUUGCUGGGAAUGGCCUUCUAGCUCCUUUGAAGGGAACCCAACCAACUCCCACUGGGCACUUCAAUUAUUCCUUCUCUGCCACAACCUUCCAUUUCAUCCUGGACACCUUAAGCCCUUGAAGUUAGGGGUGUGCCUCAUCUACCACAGAGCCCGGCACAUGGACUCUGUACAAAUCUGCAGAACUGCUCUUUCUGCAAAAUCCACUUUCCUUCUCCACAAGACACACCUGCUGCCCAGCUCAGUAUGGAGAAAUUCACAGCCCAUGGUAUGUGUGUCCUGAGAAACCUGAGUGAUGUUACGAUGACUUCAGCCAGAGCUUGCGUUGCAAGGCUCUGUAGUGCCAGCUCUACCUUUUCUCCAAAGACUCAACAAGAAAAAAGAUGAAUAUGCUCUGCAAGUCAGCACACAGGGUUCAGAUCAUCUUACCAAUUGGGGAGUGGAGGUGGUGGUUGAAGUCACAGAGGCCACUCAUGUGGAGGAGGUAGAUGUCACCCAUAGUCCAUGAGUGGUGAUAAAGGGCAACCCACGGGUAGAGCAUCUAGGGCAAUUCUGGGAAAGGAGCGUGUGCUCUUGCAGCCAUAUUGACCUGUGGAACAGAGUUAAAGCGUGGAAAUGUUAUUAUGGGCAAAAACUCUACCUGCAACAAAAGCUGACCCUCAAUAAAGCAGGGACAAUACUUGUCACCUUCCCCUCCACCAGGUUGCAAAAGAGUGGCCUCAGUACCACAAAACCCCACCCUUCCCACUGGGUCCCAUGGAGUGCUUAGGUUAGUUAUAGAAGUCAAGGCAAUAAAUUAUUGUCGCUACAUGUCUCACUGCCUGUGUCUGCAAAAGUAGAGUGGUAAGGGGCAAGUCCAAGAGGAUCGUAGAGACAAUUGCAGACUACUAAAGAAUGUGUGUUCCAGACAAGCAGGCACUAUUCCCAGGACCGCUCUCCAGCCUGCCCCUCACCAUGGGCACUGCAGUUUUCCUACUUUUGAGACAACGGGCUAGUUGACUGGGCGACAAGGCAAAGCAAAGAAGGUCUAAAAUCUUGAAGCCAAACAGCUCAAGUGAGCAGCUUUUCUUAGUGGAAGGUAAAUAUUGUCACUAGACUCACUUUGAAAAGUCUCUACUCUGCAUUACGAGGGCUAGGACUGCUCAACCUGGCUAGAAGUCUCUAGUACUCUCUCCUACAAUUUCUCAGUUCUAGGUUUCUUGGAGAGGAGGAGGUGCUGCAUGAUAUAAAAAAUUAACCCAUAGUUGUAGAAACAGAAAAAAUUCUUCCUAAAUCCUUAAAUAAAAAGAGGCAUUGUGGUAUUAGUACUUGAAAGAGCAGUGAACAGCAUGGAGGAAUGCAGGGCUCAAGUCACCCAAUGAACAAAAAGUCUCAAAAGCCAAAUUAUGGUCAUAACUUUGUAGGAAAACUCUCACCAAGUCCUGAUUCUUUUCUUUUUCUUUUUUUUUUUUGCGCUGAGGAGGAUUCACUAAUCUUCCUCUUUUUGCUUGAGAAAGAUUCUCCCUGAGCUAACAUCUGUGCCAGACUUCCUCUAUUUUGUAUGUAGGCCACCUGCCACAGCAUGGCCAUUGACAAGUGGUGUAGGUCUGCACCUGGGAACUGAACCUGGGCCGUGAAAGCAGAGCACACUGUUCUUAACCGCUAGGCCAUGGUCCGGCCCACCAAGUCCUGACUCUUGAUGUUCCGGUCUCUAUCUGACUGCAACUUCACAUGUAUACUUUGAAUGUUGCUAUUAAGGAUUUCAUUAGUGCGUUCAAGUGAUUUGAGGUUAUUCUUCAACAAAACAAAUAGAGAUUAGUCGUAUUUACUCAUUACUUGUACUUCUGUUUUUAAAGUGUAAUCUGGGAAAAAGAAGAGAUUUUUUACCUUGCCUUUUUUCGUCUUUGCUUCUUUGAUCUAUACAAAUAUAUGAUAAAGGAUUCAGAACUCAAAAAUAUUAAUUAUAGUGAUAGCAAAACCUAUCUCCCAUGGGUAAGUCCUUACUAAAAUAAGAAAAGUGGUACUUUCUAAGAUUUGAAUUUAGGCUGUUAUACAAUGUAAUGAAAUGGGACACUAGGAUGCAGGGAGAGACAGCAAAAUAAGUGAACUAGAAGAAAGUGGAAGUGCUUCAACAUGAAGCCAUGAAAAGAAAAAUCAAAGGAUGAUUAUACCUUUUUCUCAUAGUUGGCUAUAUUUUUUUUAAUUCAGCGAUUUCCUGCAUGUAAUUCUUUAUCUUCUCAGAAAUGUAAUGUAAAUUAAUUACAAAGAGAUGAAAACCAUUUCUAAGAUUAUUACCAAAACCAAUAAAAUUGAAUUAUCCUGAUGUGUCAAGAGCAAAGGCCCGUUAUUUGGCCCUAUGAGCACAAAUAACUUGUUAGCAUGACUAUGAUCCCUGAAGAAAGGUACUUUUAGUGGCAUUUAAAAUGUAGGAAACAUGGAAAUAACCCUUUUCAAUGAGAUUCCUAUUUAAUCUUUUUUCAAAGAUGGGGAAACAAUAAAAUGUGUUAGCCUACUUCCCAGCAUUAAGCAAUAUUCUUAGAAAAUGUGAAUAGUUCAAAUAGCCCUGUCAUCACCAGAGGAGAAACGAGAAAAAUCAAGCAUCCUAUGUACUUAUAAUUUGUCUUCCAAUUCUCAAAUAAAAUAAAUCUGCAAUUGCUUUAAAAGACAAAAAUCAAAAUAAAAAAACAAAGCACUUCUUCCUGGUUUUCCCCACUUCCACCCAACCUUUAAAAUGUCCCAGAGAGAUCCUUCUAAAUGUCACUUGACUGGCUACUUGAAAGCCUCCAAUGCCUUUCUGCUGUCCAGCAGACUGCCUUUCAUGAGAACCACGGUGGGAGGCUCUGAGGACAAGGCCUUCGGAAUCAAACACACUUGGGUACAAUCCUGGCUUUACCAUUAGUCUCUGGAGGACCUGGAUAACUCACAAUCCUUAUAAGACAGUCUUCUUCAGCCCCAAGAUGAGAAUGUUACCAUCCACCAUUACAGGAAAACAGCGCACAUAAAGCCCCCGAUUACAGGUGGAUAAUACACGUAAACCUUCAGAACACAGCGCAUAACUCCACACCCCUCUCAGAGGCAUUUGUCUCACCUGACCACAGAGUGCAAACUUAUCUUCUGUUUGCCCCGCGUGAGAACUCUGAUACCCUGCUCACUCUUCUCACCAUCACCACUGCGCUCACUGUGACAAACAACAGCAGUUGAGGGCCUACUAAGUGCCAGCCUGCCACCUGGCUCUCAACAGUCAGCAUUACUUACUGAUCACAGUCUAUGAAGCUCAUACGGAAUGUCUUACCCGUAUUUUGCAUCAGGUUUAUUUCUACUCAUUUUCCGCUGGCAUGAGUGGCUCCCUCUGCUUCAUAUUCAUAACCCGUGGCUGUGACACACACUUUGCCUUCAGUGUCUGGGUCCUUCUCUAAGCCAUAAGCCGCUUGAUAGGCUCCAGUAGUGCCUUAUCAUCUUACAUUACACCAAGUCAAGGUCAUUUCAACAUACCCACUCGAAAUUUCAGACUCAUACCAUCACGUCCUAAACAUUUCCAUGCAAAAUUAAACACCCUAUUGUCCCUACCACAGUGAUCCAUUCCUCCUCCUGUCCUCUUCUCUCAAUAGAUGGCACCUCCCUCUACAUUGUCCUUUAGACUCCAACCGGGGAGGAGUAAGAUUUUCAAGAAUUAAGUCCAUUCAGGGCCGGCCCGGUGGUGUGGUAAUAAAUUUCCUGUGCUCUGCUUCGGCAGCCCGGGGUUUGCUUGUUUGAAUCCUGGAUGUGGACCUACACACUGCUCAUCAAGCCGUGCUGUGGCAGCAUCCCACAUAGAAUAACUAGAAGGACUUAUAACUAUGAUAUACAAUUAUGUACUGGGGCUUUGGGGAGAAAAAAAAGGAAGAUUGGCAAGAGAUGUUGGGUAUAUCAAGGUUAGCUUAAAAUCUUACCUUGAAGCA